UUUUCCACAAAUUCCCAAGAUGACUUCCUAUGCCAACCACUUGAACCACAAAAGUUGUUGAGAAUAUCUACAAUGUAUAUUGCAGGUUUGACAUCCGGAUCUCCGCUGCUGCAUGCGAAGAAUAAUGUGAGGAGAAGGGCAAACUACACUGACCCCUGCAACUUCAUCAGCAACAAAACUGGAAGCUACUUUCUUCCAAUUGUCCGAGAAAAUCAUUUUCAAAGGUUGGUGAGAUGCUUUGCAACUUUUUCUAAUAAGUGCAAAAUGUUAAAAGAAAUUUCCCUCUGAGGACUGCUUUCAUUACAUCCCACAGAUUCCGGUAAGUUGUAUUUACAUUUUCAUUUAUUUGCAGGUAUUUUUUAAUUUCUUCUUUAAUUUCUUCUGUGUCCCAUUGGUUGUUCAGGAGGUUGUUAUUUAAUUUCCAAGUGUUUAUGGAGUUUUUGGAGUUCCUUUUGUCAUUAAUUUCCAAUUUCAGACCUGCAUGUGUAAACAACGUAUUCUCACUGGUGUAAGAACCUGAAAGAGUGAAUAAAGACUAGGAGGUAUGAUAGACAUUGUGAAAUGAAAGGAAAAUGCUCAAAAGUAAAAAGCAACUGGGAUGAGGGAAAAGAAAAUAGAAAGAAGGGGAAAUUAUGUAAGUACGUAUAUAUAGGAUAGCUAACAUAGUUGUACUACUGACUUCUAUCAUUUUAUUGAAAGGAACAGUUAAUGAUUAAUUAUUUUGAUCAAUCUUGCAUGUCUAUAUUUGUUUUCCUGAGUAACCACUUUGAAGUUAUCAAUAUGUAAUACAACAACCAUUGUUAAUUCCCUGUCACCUUGUCUGUAAUUCAGUAUUGCUUGUACUAUUCUUG
rnacentral:lncRNA from 1 species